AUCCAGCUGACGAGUUUCAAAUAGGAUGAAACGCGCAUCAAACUGGAU
rnacentral:hammerhead_ribozyme from 1 species